GUCUUCAUCCUAAGAGCAGUGGGAAGCUUUCUGAGGGUUUUCACCAGAAGGCUACAGGUCAAACUUGGGCUCUGAAAAGUUCACUCUAGCUUCAGUGUUGGGAAGAGACUCAGAGCAAAACCAUUAAAAAUGGCAAAAAAAUGAAGAACAUACCAGCUGAGUAAAAUCUUAGACAGCUGACUCCUUAACUAGACUGACAGUCAAGAAAUGCCCCCACGUAAUUACCGGCACGUGUGCAUGUCACGUGCACAACCCUGUCACGUUGCAUCUGGGCAGACAGACCAGCUGGAGGACCCACUGGAGCCUCUUGUUUCUGUACCCCUGCAGCUGGCUGAGCACCUAAACUGGUUUCCUGGGCCCUCAAGAAAUGCCUGCUGGAAAAAUGGACACCUUAGUGACAGUGCCACCUGGCCAGCCAGGCUGUGACAUCUGAGUCCAUGCUCCAUGAGGCAGGGUGCCUCAGGCCUCUGCUAAUUUAAGAAGAUUUGUCUGGGCAAUGCCAAAGUGAGAUGAACAGAAACAACUUUAACAGAAGGUAAAAAUGAAUGAUAUUAAAAAACGAUAAUAAAGGCUGGUCAGAGGCUGAUUUGACAUUGGAGACUAUACUCCUGCCUGGCUGAUUGCUUCAGAAACCCUCUUGAAACCCUGGGAUUUAUUUGCAAAUGAUCUCCACUGUGGACCAAAGAGUUCAACAGGAAAAGAAAUGAGCAAAAUUGAUGAGUUGGGUGGAACAAAAUAGGGCCAUCACACUGUGGUGGGAAGAGGUGAGACAGGGCGUCCCCGGGAACAUUUUGAUCAAAUUGCCAUGGCGGAGGUGGGGCUGCUUCUCUUCCGGUCUCGGGCGCUUCACAGGCCUCCCCUGCACUUAGCUGCUCCUCCUUUGUCCAGCCAGCCGUGGUAGCUCCAGGCCAGUGAGCCGCAGCUCUGAGGAUGGGGCCCUCUUCCCAACGCAGGGGAGUGCAAAGAGCGGGGCCUGCAUUUACAGACCUUGAGGAAAUCCAAGGAAGGCAAUUUGUUUUUUGGACUGGCUGCAGGAUGCCACAGCUCAAAGCCUGUCCUAAAACUGUCUAUUCUCUCCAUUUACAAAUGUACAUGUACAUAAUUAAAAAAACCUUUUUAUUCUGAAAUAAUGUCAAACUUAUAGAAAGAACUCCCAUGUACCAGUCACCUGGAUUCAGCUGUUGGCACCCUCUGCCACAUUUGCUUUAUUUCUGUAACUCUUUUACCCAUAAAUACUUCACUGUAUGCGCCCUGAGAACAAGGACAUUCGUUCUUUUAUACAAUCGCAGUGAGAUUGUCAACGUGGGGAAACAGAACAUCAAUCCAUGUGGGCUAUGAUCAACUGAAGGUUCAUAUUUAAGUGACUACAAUUCCCCAAUGAUGUCCUUUUUUAAAAAACUGUUUAAAAGUUAUUAUUUUUUUAAAUUUUCUUAUUUUUUGUUUUGGCAGAAGAGGUAAUUAGGUUUAUUUUUAAAGGAGGUACUGGGGAUUGAACCCAGGACCUUAUGCAUGCUAAGUAGGCACUCUACCACUGAGUGUCCACCUCCCCACUCUGAAACAUGAGAAGAAAUGAUGGUGCCCAUCUCUUGUGAGGGUAAAAUGAGGUUGAAUGUAGAGCUUCCUCAUCUCUAGCACAGAGUUAACUAGCAAAUGGAGAAAUGGUGGUGACAGAGGCACCCAGGGGAACACCUGUUUAGAGGGGAGGCCAUGUGAAGACACAGUGAGAAGGUGUCAUCUGUAAGCCAAGGACAGAGGCCUCAGAUGAAACCAAACCCGCGGACACCUUGGUCAUGGACUUCUAGCCUCCAGAACGAGAGCACAGCUGCCGUCCAUGUCGGGUGUGAGCCUCUGCUCCAUCUCUCUGGAGCCUGGAGGCCAAGCAUGUGACCCAUGUCCGUGUGUUAAGACCCACCUGACACCUGCACAACACCACCAGAAAUUGACAAACCAAUCUUAAAAUUCAUAUGGAAUCCAAGAGACCCAGGAUGGCCAAACCAAUCUUGAAAAAGGAAGAAAGUUGGGGGAUUCAUAUUUCCCAACUUUAAAACUUACUGCCAAGCAACAGGUAAUCAAGACAGUGAGGCGCUGGCAUAAGGACAGACACACAGAUCAAUGGACUAGAAUUGAGAGUCAAGAAGUAAACUCAUAUAUUCAUGAGUAAAUGACUUUUAACAAGAGUGCUAGGAACAUUCAAAUGGGGAAAACAGUCUUUUCAACAAAUGGUGCUGGGACUACUGGAUGUCUCAGGCAAGAGGAUAAAAUUGGACCCCUGCCUCACACCAUACAUAUACAAAAUUAACUUAAAAUGGGUAAAAGACCUAAAUGUAAGAGAGAAAACUGUAAACUCUUAGGAGAAAGCAUUCCAUUUGUGGAAUGGUUUCUUUGAUAUGAAACCAAAAGGGUAAACAACCAAAGGAAAAAUAAAUUGGACCCCAUCAAAGUAAAAAACUUUUGCUCUUGAAAAGAUGCUAUUAAAAAAGUGAAAAUACAACCCAUUGAGUGGAAAAGAUAUUUGCAAAUCAUAUAUCUGAUAAGCGUCUAGUAUCCAGAAUGUAUAAAAAAUUCCUACAACUCAGCAACAGAAAACCAAAGAACCUGUUUUAAAAAAUGAGCAAAGGACUUAGACAUUUCUCCAAAGAAGAUAUACAAAUGGCCAACAAGAACACGGAAAGAUGCUUUACCUUCCUGAUCAUUAGAGAAACUCAAACCCAAACCACAGUGAGAUACCACCCUACGCACAUUAGGAUGGCUAUGAUUAAAAAUAAAACCCAAAAGAUGACGGGUGUUGACAGAGAUGUGGAGAAAUUGGAACUCUUGUUC